AACGCUAGCUACAGGCUUAACACAUGCAAGUCGAGGGGAAACGAUAUUGGAAGCUUGCUUCCGAUAGGCGUCGACCGGCGCACGGGUGAGUAACGCGUAUCCAACCUGCCCACCACUUGGGGAUAACCUUGCGAAAGUAAGACUAAUACCCAAUGACGUCUCUAGAAGACAUCUGAAAGGGAUUAAAGAUUUAUCGGUGAUGGAUGGGGAUGCGUCUGAUUAGCUUGUUGGCGGGGUAACGGCCCACCAAGGCGGCGAUCAGUAGGGGUUCUGAGAGGAAGGUCCCCCACAUUGGAACUGAGACACGGUCCAAACUCCUACGGGAGGCAGCAGUGAGGAAUAUUGGUCAAUGGACGAGAGUCUGAACCAGCCAAGUAGCGUGCAGGAAGACGGCCCUAUGGGUUGUAAACUGCUUUUAUAAGGGAAUAAAGUGAGUCUCGUGAGACUUUUUGCAUGUACCUUAUGAAUAAGGACCGGCUAAUUCCGUGCCAGCAGCCGCGGUAAUACGGAAGGUCCGGGCGUUAUCCGGAUUUAUUGGGUUUAAAGGGAGCGUAGGCCGGAGAUUAAGCGUGUUGUGAAAUGUAGACGCUCAACGUCUGCACUGCAGCGCGAACUGGUUUCCUUGAGUACGCACAAAGUGGGCGGAAUUCGUGGUGUAGCGGUGAAAUGCUUAGAUAUCACGAAGAACUCCGAUUG
rnacentral:rRNA from 1 species